GCAUCAGCCGUUGUCCCCGCCCCUUUUCUGCCUGGGUACCGGAUUCUCCAUCCUCAUAAAAAAAUGGAUGAACAAAUAAAAUGCGGCGUCUCAGAAACCGGAUUAAAGCUGCAUAGCGCCAUUUACUUUUUGUAAAGAAGGUAUUUUACUUUUUGAUGGACUUAGAUUUUAUAGACCAGCAAUAUAUUUGCCCCCGAGAAGGUGAGGGGUUUUGAAUGAAACAUGAGAUGCGGCUAUUGUUCGCAAGCGCCAGAAUCCUUGUUUGGGAUGGAUGGCCUAGGUAUCCUGCUCGCUUCCUUUAACUCCAGUCGUACGAGUAUAAAGUGAAAUGUGCACCGAUGUAACUCUCAAAAUAAACAUUUUUUAUAAUCAAGUGCGUGAGAUGUGGUUUUACUUCUUUAAUGGGAGUUAUAACACAGCCAACAGAGGUGUGGAUUCUAGGGCAUUCUUCCAUGUACCAUACAGCCAAAGAAUUGAGUGAAUCAGGAUGGAACCUGGGUUUCAAAGAAGAAGAAGAAGACGAAGAAAUGCUGAUUCACUGCCUGCAAAGGAAAGAAUGCAGUGAAGGCACCUGAUGGCAUCUUUAACAGAGUAUUCAGAGUCAUUACCUGAGCCAAAUGUAAUUGUAUUACAUGUAGGGGGGAAUGGUGUUACAAGUUGUCCAUUGUUAUUGUACUUCAAAAAAAUAGCAUCUUUCAAAGAUUAAGGCAGAUGUGGCCAAGUAUUAAACUUGUGUGGUUGGAUAUAAUUCCAGGACCAGUCUGUCAAGGAGCAAAUAAUGUCAAAGCAGUGGAAAGGGCUAAGGAAUUAAAUUUAUUAACUAACAGGUAUGCACACUAGCGGUUUGGGUACUGCAUCAAACUAAUUAAUAUCAGUUCACCAUAACUGUACAGAAAUGAUGGAGUUCAGUUGUCACAUCAAGGAUGAAGUUAUUUAUAGGAAAUCUAAAAGGAAUCACAAAGUUGGCAAAUGUGUUGGGUGGAGAUGGCAUGUAGGACAAGCCAUCUUCCUGUGACAGAAGAGCAGGCCUGGAAGACUAAUAUUGCAAAAAAGUAUGCUUGGCCUGCGAAGGGAUGCAAACUUGGACAGCUUGGCCCUUCUCUGGGUGGGCUUCCCCCUGGUGUACCAGGCAGGCUGUGGUCCACAGCACUGGGUCUCACAAGUGGCAGAUCCCCUCCAACCACUGGUAUCUGGCUAAAUGGUGACAGGGGACUGUUGGUGUUUGGUUGUAAAUCCAUUCAGCCAUUGGUGUUGGCAGAGCAUUUACAGGGACUGUGGUGGUAUGUUAUGGCCUGGUUGAUAUGACUUAUUUCCAAGUUGUGCCCUUUUCCUACAUCUGAAUAUUCUUGGUUGGCAUUGAUUGGUCUGAUUGGCAUUUACUUCUGAUCUGGUACUGAUUUAAUACAUAAUUUGAUCUGACUGGCAUAAUAAAUACAUGGCUGUGGCCAUUAGUUCCAA